rnacentral:lncRNA from 1 species
CCAGUGUUGCUUCUUCUUUCUAUAGACACCCUAAGCAGCCAUUACCAACAAACCUCACCAAAGACCACCCCUGAACCCCCCCUCCUCCAAUAUUCUUCUCUAACACAAAACCAGUCGUUAUCCCUAGACCCUACACGACCAAAAACAUAGAGACUCCAAAACAAAACGGACCAUGCCAUUCUUCUUCAAUUUCGGAGACACCCUUUGGAGACCCCUCAUCUUCAGUUUCUUCUCCACUCGUUUCCCUUACAACAAACGACCCCAUCUCCACCGAAAAUAGACUCUAAGACCUAACCUUCAAUGCCCGUUAAAAUACAUCUCCUUAUCAACCAAAGAACACACCUAAAUUCACAGCCAUCCCACUUUUUCACAAGAACCCAACCAGUGGUCUUUCUCCACCACCUGCUAGAACAGCAGUCGCCCAAGUGGCCGGACUUCACAACUCACCAAAGUAGCCAUCGCCAGAACCCUAGCUCCUCCUCAGCGAGAACCAACCACCGCCACCUAACCCCUAAUCUCUCAACUCACCCCUAGCUUCGAAACACACAGCCAGCAGUAACACCCCCACCAAAAACACGCACACAUGCGCAAAUGGAGGGCAACGACAAUGGGAGAACGAAAUUCAGAGGGAGGAGACGAGUUCAUUCUAUAAAUAGAUUGGAUAAUAGCUUCGAUCAAGGUUCUAGUCGCUUGGUUCAUUUAAUUAUUUUUUGUUUAAAUUUCGGACGUUAUUCGAUUGGGAUUACGACAAGACAUUCCAAUAUAGAUCUUGUCCGUGGUUUUGACAUUUACGAUUUUGUUUUUGAGGUCCAUUUCUAAACCUUGUGUUUAGUUUUAAUGUCCUUCCUUGUGUGAUUUGAUAGUGAAUGAAGUUUUGUUUGAUUCUAAUUUUUCCAGAUGUGUGCAUAUGGCUAUUUUAUCUUCC